rnacentral:rRNA from 1 species
UACGUAGGGAGCGAGCGUUGUCCGGAAUUACUGGGUGUAAAGGGAGCGUAGGCGGGAUGGCAAGUCAGAUGUGAAAACUAUGGGCUCAACCCAUAGACUGCAUUUGAAACUGUUGUUCUUGAGUGAGGUAGAGGUAAGCGGAAUUCCUGGUGUAGCGGUGAAAUGCGUAGAGAUCAGGAGGAACAUCGGUGGCGAAGGCGGCUUACUGGGCCUUUACUGACGCUGAGGCUCGAAAGCGUGGGGAGCAAACAGGAUGAGAGACCCUGGGAGGCCGGUGACUGACU